GGACGGGCUGCUGCUGAGCCAGUAGUAAUGCUAGUGAGUAGUAGUGUUGAGCGUCUUCGAAACUGUCCUGUCCGCAAUUGAAAAUGGAUAAGAGGAAGAAAUGCCCGGGUGGUGCUGAGAAACAGCUAUUAAAAAAGUUGAAGUCUCUGGAGGUGGAGGCUUCUAAAUGUGCGAAGUUGACGGACCUUUUUGGUGUCGAGACCACCAACCCGCCAGCAGCCACAGGUGCUGCUGCACCGGGAGACGAGGGAGGAGGACCUAUUGAUGAUGAGCGAGUGGAGGCAGACAUGCUCUGUUUUUGGUCUCCACCUGCUACUAAGGAAAAUAUCUGACUCUCGAGCUAGUAUGUAUUCCCAAGCAUCCGAACUUGGAAUACUCCUUACAGAAGAGCAGUGGCUGCUGGGGCUCGAAUGGAGGCUUGUAGUCCAAACACUGGGGGUGACAGCUACCCCACCAGGCCUGGAGGAGCAACGGCAGGACGAGGAGAAGGAGGUGAGGGAAGAGGGCGUGCUGCAAAUUAGAGGUCAUGGUGCGGAAGAUGCUGUCCUUCAGACCAGGAUUGUUCAAUUCUUGAUCCAGUUGCGCAUGUGUGUGGACGUGCCUCGGCCAUCUGUGUCUCAUUAUUGAACGGCCACCUUUCAGUACAGAGAGUGACUUCCAUCUGGCCUGCUGUCUGUCAGACACUUUAUCACUCAGCACUCUCCGAUUGAGACACAAUCUACAGUCAGACGUCCUUGGGAUGAAACAGAUCAACGGGCACUUUAUCAUGUGGUGGCCCUAUUUAGCUGUUUGCUUUGGAGAAUGAAUUGUUUUACAAAGCUAUGAAGUCAUGAGAAGAUCAGAUCAGCGCGGACAUGAUGAGACCUGUAACAGCCACGCCGUGUGUUUGAAAAUCUCUCAUCUCCCCAAAGGAAGACGUGCCUGGCAGGAUUCCAGAUGGACAGCCUCAAGUAUGAAGAUGCCAGUGAUUGGUGAGAGGGUGAGAAUGAAGAGGAUAAACUUCAUCAGCUAAUUUUCUAAAACCAAUGACAAGCAGGGAAAAAUAUGCAUACAGCCACGUUGAAAAAAAAAAAAUCUGGUGUUCUGCCCACAUGCUUGUGUUUUCUCUUUACAAUAUGUUUAUUUUAGUUGCAUAUGUGUUGUUGCUGGAUGUGUUUCUUAAAGCAACAUUAUGUAGCCAUGUUGCCUGUGAUUUACCGAGUCUCCUGAAAGCAACAUGUAACUGUUGCCUGCUGCAGCUUCAGCUUAGCCAUGCUAGCUGACUUAGCUGUCACAGGAGCUUUGGACCACAUUGAGGAGAGGGUCUUCAGUUGAGCCAGAACUGGGCUCAGCAGCUUCAACAGAGAUCAUGGCAGAAUGAGAAAGAGAGACAAGAUUAGAUGUCAGACUGGCUUAUAGCUGUUGGCGACAGCUUUACUAAAUAAAACGCUGCACGACAGACACCAAACUGGACUUGUUGCUUUUGAAUAGUGAGUAAUAGUAGCUAGCAUGCCAAGUUAUAGAGUAUGCCAUGUGUCAUUGCACUUGCUUGAUGUUUGACCAUGUUAGCAAUGUUGUCACCGCUGUACUUUUUGCUCAAGCCAAGUCAGCUCACAACAUGGCACGCUAAAGCUAGGUUUUAUUGUCUGGUGUUCUCGUGACAUUACUGUUCUGACUUUUGUGCAAAGCUUGAGCAACCUGGGAUUUGUAUUUAGAAGGCAAAAUGUAAAUUUAUUGACAUUUAAGUAACGGUUUGAAAAAAUAAAUAAUGUUUAGAGUCCUUGAA